ACUCAGAAAUCCACCUGCCUCUGCCUCCAUGGUGCUGGGAUUAAAAAGGCGUGCACCACCACCACCCGGCGAGUGUCCCUUUUCAUAUCUCUCUAUUUUUCUAGCUGGCUUAGGUCAAAAUUGAGAGCUUCUGAGAGCUGCUGAGACUACCCUAGUGUCCCUUCUGGCCUUUCCAUUGGGUCUCCAAGGCUUGCUAUUCAGCCUGUCUGGCUGCUUUACGGCAUGCUCUCCGUAAGCCUGCCCUUUCUUCAGCUGGAGGGCAAGACCUGUUUAUCUGGUUGGAAUCUUCUUGGUGCCAGCAGCCUGGGAGAGGAUGCCACGUCCUUUGCUGCUGCAGCUGCCAAGACUGAUAUGUCUUGAACACUCUUCCUGCCUCAGCCUCCCAAAGCAAAAGGACAAGCAAGGGAUGCAGAAAGCACCUGGAACUAGAGAGCUUGCCUUAGAAAAUCCUGCUCAUGCUGGGAAGACAAGGGAGAUGACUCACUGGGACAGCUCACAGGGAAGGAAGAGGGACCCAGCUCAACUUGGUCCGAGUGGAAGUGAGAAAGUCUCUGUAUCUGCAGUCGAUUCUCCUCGAGACUCCUCCUCCUCUUGAACUGUCAACUGAAAACGCCAGUCACAUCCUCAGGCAAUAGCAUCUUUCCAGCUUGUGACCUUAGAUUGUUUAAAGGCAAGGUGGGCUACACAGAUGGGCUCAGUGAUUACAAGCACAUACUGGCUUCUUCAUGCAGAGAACCUGAGUUCUGGUCUUAGCCCCCGCUUGAGGUGGCUCACAAAUACCUGUAAAUCUAGCUCCAGGGUGAUCCAGCUUUCUCUGGCUUCCCUGCCCACCCACACACACAUGCACAUAACGACACAAAGACAUGCAUCAUUAAAAUAAAAUCUGUACAAAAGA